AAACAUAACCUUUAGCCAAACAAAUAUUAAAGGCAACGCCUGCCCAGUGAACAAUUAAACGGCCGCGGUACCCUAACCGUGCAAAGGUAGCAUAAUCAUUUGUCUACUAAUUAUAGACCUGUAUGAAAGGCAAAAUGAGGGUCUAACUGUCUCUUAUAAUAAAUCAAUUAAACUGAUCUCCUAGUAAAAAAGCUAGAAUAACAACAUAAGACCAGAAGACCCUGUGAAGCUUAAAUCAAACUAUUAAACCAUAUAAUAACUACUUUCGGUUGGGGCGACCUUGGAAAAAAAAAGAACUUCCAAGACCCAGCACAGCUGAUAAAUGAACCAAGUUACUCCAGGGAUAACAGCGCAAUCUUCUUCAAGAGUCCAUAUCAAAAAGAAGGUUUACGACCUCGAUGUUGGAUCAGGACAUCCUAAUGGUGCAGCCGCUAUUAAGGGUUCGUUUGUUCAACGAUUAACAGUCCUACGUGAUCUGA
rnacentral:rRNA from 1 species